AGGAAGUCGGUAUGAUUACCUUCGUGUGCUGAUAGCAUGCGUGGAGGCAAAGGCCGGACGAUUACGUAAUGUUGAGUAGGAUCGAUGGCGAGUAUUGUGGGAGUCAUUGAGGUUAAGCUUUGGGAAACUGGAGGCGUCAACACGCACCUCGCAGUGGCAACCACAAGAAAGUAGGCCGCUUGCGAGUCGCCUUUCUGAGAGAUGACUCUUUAUCAAGGUAUUACAUGGAUAUGUUACCACUUUGGCUAGAACUACAACAAGAAGAUGAUAGGCUCUUGCUAUCCUUGGUGGUGUUAUAUCAUAUAUAUCUGUGGAUGUGAUAUACCCUUAUAGUGAUACCAAUCUUUACAUUAAGGUUACCCUUCAUAUGUAAUCGAUGCUUCAUGUUAGGAUUAGACCCGUUAGAUUAGAUGGAAAACCUUUUC
rnacentral:lncRNA from 1 species